CCUGCUUAGUAAACUUACUCAAUGACAUAAUACUUACGUAAGUAAAAUGACUGAAAUACGCACAUAUUUGAAAGCAGUGGGUAAUGGAAAAUGAAAUACCCACUCAACAUUCAUAAUACCCACUCCAAAAAUAUUCAGUGGGUACAGUACCUACAUGAGCUGAAUCUUAUCUGGAGCUCUGGACUGACAUACCAU